rnacentral:tRNA from 1 species
CCUUCGAUAGCUCAGCCGGUAGAGCGGAGGACUGUAGAUCCUUAGGUCGCUGGUUCGAUUCCGGCUCGAAGGA